rnacentral:snRNA from 1 species
ACACUUACUUAGCUCCAGGUCUAGGGGGAAUCAAGAAUGCCCUGGUCCUAGGUGGAGGCUCGCCUUUGCACUUCGUCGUGUUGAAACCUGCGACGAUCCCUAAUCUGGCUCGAUUGGACGCGUAGUUUAUGCUAGGGGCGAGGUCUUGGGAUCAUCCAUUU